ensembl:lncRNA
CGGCGAGCAGCUAUAAACAAAACAGACCCAGUCCACCCAGAGGAUUGAGAACAAAAGGCAAACAGGAGUGCUUGAAUCUACAAAGAAGCAGAUUUUGCUGCUCCAGAAAGAUGGGUUAUUUGUCCCCCCAAGGACAAAAGACAGUUUGGAAGAGCUGAUGAGCUGAGUUAUUGGGGGCAAUGGGUAAGUAGUCUCUGCUAGCCAAAUAAGUUCCUUUGCAUAAGCUAUAGCAAUACAUUACAGAAUCCAGGAUAAAGACCCAGAACAAGAAACGGACAAUCGGAAGCUUAUAGUGUUUGAGAAGGAUUCGGCUACAGCAUUUUCUUAAGGUCUGUGUGAAAGAAUUACCUUGAACUUCAGCAUGCCUUUUUUAGAAGCAAUUAAGUUAAAAGCUUUGAGAGCCUUGGAGCUUUAUCUAAACGGCUAUCUCUUGGCCUAAGGGACCUUAAGGUAUUGCACUAAGUGAGUUUGCUCUUAACAACAAGAGCUUUCAUAGCUAAAGCCAGCAGCAUGCAUGCAUCACGCAAGCUGGGACGGAUCUGGAGAAGGCCAGGUGCAUCUGGGGAGGAGGGGGAGCUGUUGCUGUCGGCGGUCUUUUUCCCUCAUGCGAUAAACUGAUCAGGAGAGGGGCCUGUGCAGUCUUCUUAUUGUUCAACUUUUAUUUUAUAUUGGCGUAUACUUGAUUUACAAAGUUGUAUUAGUCUCAGGUGUAUAGCAAAGUGAUUCAGUUGUGCAUGUAUGUUGAAUAUAUAUAAAUACACACACACACACAUAUAUGUGGCUGUUGUUUAGUUGCUCAGUCAUGUCCCACUCUUUUCAGAUCCCCUGGAUCACAAGGCUUCUCCAUCCAUAGCAUUUUCCAGGCAUGAAUACUGGAGUGGGUUGCCAUUUCCUCCUGCAGGGGAGCUUCCUGACCCAGGGAUCAAAUUCACGUCUCCUGCACUGAAGGCAGAUUCUUACGGCUGAGCCACGCUGCUGCUGCUGCUAAGUCGCUGAGCCAUAGGGGAAGUCUCUAUAUGUGUUGGCUCAGAUGAUAAAGAAACUGCCUGCAGUGCCGGAGACCCAGGUUUGAUUCCUGGGUUGGGAAGAUCCCCUGGAGAAGGGAAUGGCAACCCACUCCGGUAUUCUAGCCUGGAGAAUCCCAUGGACAGAGGAGCCUGGUGGGCUAUAGUCCAUGCGUUCGCAAAGAGUCAGACAUGACUGAAUGACUAACCCUUCAAAAAAAAAAAAUCUCUAUUCCUUUUCAGGUUCUUUUCCCACAUAGGUUACUGCAGAAUGCUGAGUAGAGCCCCCUGUGCUAUCUGGUAGGUCCUUGUUGAUUAUGUGCCAACUGGAAAGGGCUCGCCCCUUCCCGGAGUGUCUCUAGGAGAGCCAGGCGGCGCAGCCCUCUGCGGCUUCCUUUCUUUGUCCCGCUCGAUUCCCUCUCUGGAUGAGUGCAGGCAGCCCUCCUACCCCCACCUGCAGCCCCGAAGCGCAUUCAGCCAGGGUCGCCCUUCCCUCCGGGCACAUCCUCUGACCGUGCUGUUUUCAACUUCAGUGACUUCCUGCUCAUCUGCUAGUACAGGAGGUUUUUAUCCUAGGGCCUUAUGGAUGGACAGGGUCUGAGAUAUCUUGAAGUCAUAUUUGAGAGGUGCGGUUACAAAAAUGGGCACUGUCUAUUCAGAACAGCCAAGACAUAGAAAUGUCCCUUGACAGAUGAAUGGGUAAAGGAGAUAUGGUAUAUACAGACACAGUGGAAUACUACUCAGCCAGGAGAAAAACCAGAAUAAUACCAUUCGCAGCAACAUGAAUGGACCUGGAGGCUGUCAUAUUAAGUGAAGUCAGAGAAAGAUGAAUACUGUGUGAUAUCACUUGUAUGUGGAACCUAACCUAUGACACAAAUGAACCCAUCUACCAAACAAAAAUAGAUUCACAGAGAAGAGACUUGCGGUUGCCAAGGGGGAGGGAGCUGGAGGGAGGCGUGUUGGGGGUUUGGGAUUAGCAGAGGCAAACUACGUAUACUGAACGGAUAGACAACAAGGUCCCGCUGCGUAGCACAGGGAGCUGUGCUCAAUAUCCUGUGAUAAAGCAUAAUGGAGAAGGCUGUGAAAAAGAAUAUACAUAUGGGCUUUCCUGGUGGCUCAGAUGGGAACGAAUCUGCCUGCACGUAGAAGCCCUGGGUUCAUGUCAUGCGUCAAGAAGGUUCCCUGGAGGAGGGCCUGGCAACCCACUCCAGUAUUCUUGCAGGGAAAAUCCCAUGGGCAGAAGAGCCUGGUGGGCUACAGUCCAUGGGCUCUCAAAAGACUGGGGCAUGAAUGAAUGACUAACAACAGGUAUAACUGAGUCACUUUGCUGUACAGCAGAAAUUAAUACAACCUUGGAAAUCAGUUUUACUUAAAAGAAGUUAAAGAAAUAAAAAUGUGCAUUGUUUUCUUCAGAGGAUUAGCUUAAACUUUCAUUGACUUCUCAGAGGGAUUGACAGCUUCCAAAGGGCUACGGAAAUCACCCCAGAGGGACUGUGGAGGGACUGAGGUUGGAGAAGCCACUCUGCCUCGGGGACUUGACGGGCAGAAGAGCCCCAGGGAGCUGACAAGCAGCCAAGGCACCCCAGAGGUCCUUCCUUCCAAGUCGGUGAUUUUACAAAUAAGGAAACUGAGCCUCAGAGCCAUGCAGUAGGCCAGCACCUGGUCCCUAACUCUCCCCUGGGGAACUCCUGGGAGUUCCUUCCAGAAUAGCGCUCAGGACGAUCAGGUUCUUCCAGUUCUAAUCCUGGAAGUUGAGCGGAGGGGAGGCAGGAGAGAGGGGACUUCCAGCAGCAUCAAGGUAGGUUCAGACUUCACAGGGUUUCCAUCAGCAGCUCAUUGUUGGGGGUGUGGCUCUGGAUCAUGGGUGGAGUCUUGACUCUGCCCCUUCUAUGUGGCUUUAGGAAAAUCGUCUUCCUCCGUGUGCUUCAGUUUCCGUCUCUGUGAAGUGGGAAUGAUAGUAACACACACCAGGUAAGACUUUGCGGUGAGGAUUAAAUGAGCACAUCUUGUGUACGUAGAACAGGGUCUGACGUGUAUUCAGCACUGGCUUUGUCCCCAUCUAUUAUUGAUAUUUUACAAGCAUUUAUUGAGCAUUUCUUAUAUUCUGGCAUUGUGCCGGACACUAAAGACAGUGAUCAAGAUUUAUUAAGAUUUAUUUCCUUCAGCCAGGAGUGGGUUGUGGGGAAACCACAGUUAAUUAAAACGUACUGUGACAAGUGGUUGGCCCGAUGCCCUUGGUAAUGGGAGAGACACUAACAUCUAGGGUCUUACAUUUCUCCUGAGACUCAAAAUGCAAACCUACACAGGCAAACCACAGUCUGUUCUGUGGAUCUCCCUACUAAGGGACCCUGGAACGAUGAGGCAAUGCCAUAUGCCAGUGGAAACACUCGGGGCAGGGCUGACAGGAGCUCCAAGCAGCAGUCUGGGACUGGACAAAGGAGCAGAGCUGGGGAGGAGGGCCACGGCGGGGGAGGACUGGGGUCUUAGGACCAGACGCUGCACAAGCUGCCAGGGUGCCCUGGGACCUGAUUACACCCUGGAGUUUAUGGGCCAGCAGGAGCUAAGACACAGAGAGGCAGAGCUGGGCUGACUUCCUCCCCAGUGACAGUGUAUUAUGUGGUCUUUUUUGAAGGCAUGUGGCCAGGACCCCAUGCCUACCAACCCCCUGAGUUAAGUGGGCGCUUGCUGUGUGCAGUAGGUGCAGUGAAAGCUGAGCCCUGAGGAUCCAAGGAUGAAACAGAGUCAGAAGAAUAAACAUGGUUACAGCCCAGAACUGACAGGGUCACAGGGCGGGCACAUAUACAGAAGGAUGUGUAUAUACAGAAGGAGAUUCAUUUUGGGAAACUGGCCGUCCCGCUGUGGACGCUGCAUGCAUGCUGAUCACUUCAGUCCUGUCCGACUCUGUGUGACCCCAUGGACUGUAGCCUGCCAGGCUCCUCUGUCCAUGGAAUUAUCCACGCAAGAACGCAGGAGAGGGUGGCCGUGCCCUCCUCCAGGGGAUCUUCCCAACCCUGGGAUCGAACCUGCACCUCCUGCCUUGGCAGGCGGGUUCUUUACCAUUGGCACCACCUGGGAAGCCUAGAACUGCAGAGCAGGCCAGCAGGCUGGACACUCCAAUGGAAGCUGAGAAUGCAGUCGUGAGUCUGAGGCAAAAUUUCUUUUUAUGACUUUUUUUAAAUUGGAGGACAAUUGCUUUACAAUUGGUCGGUGGCAGAAUUUCUUUGCUGCCACCUGGAGGCAGCAGUCUGUCCUCUUCAGGAGACCUUAAUUUCUGUUUUGCUUUUUCCUUAAGACAUUCAACUGAUUAUAUGAGGCCUACCCAUGUUGCGGAAGAUAAUCUGCUUGUCACCAAGUCAAUUGAUUUGAAUGUUAAUCACAUCUAAAAAAAUACCUUCACAGCAACAUCCAGACUGGUAUUUGACCAAACAACUGGGCACCAUUAGUUCCAUGGCCUAGCCAAGUUAAUGUAAAAUGAACUAUCACAUCUGACUCCAACACUCACCAAAUGCCCUAAACCCACAUGAAAACAGAGGGAAAGAGAGCUUUUGGUUCAAAACCUUAACAAAUCCGAACAUUUUCCUGCAACUCUUCACCUCCUCUGCAAAGGUGCUCCCAGGCCCCAGGCCAUGAUCGUGUCCAAACCCUCUGGGGAACCAGCGUCCAUCGCCUGCCCUUGUGACCCUGUCAGUUCUGGGUUGUAACCAUGUUUAUUCUCCUGACUCUGUUUCAUCCUUGGAUCCUCAGGGCUCAGCUUUCACUACACCUACUGCACACAGCAAGCGCCCAACAAACGUUUGCUCAGUGAGGAAGUUUCUGCUUCUGAAAUUCUGCCAGAGCCUCUAAGACCAAAGAAGAGAGGAAUUCAGGUUCCCUGACAAACCCUUGAUGCCCAGAGAACCCAGCAUCUAAGACGGCAGGAGCCUGUGUAUUUGUGUUAAAUAUUGAAUUUACCCAAGCCCACGUCAUGCCACGGCAAUGAGCACAGCUCUUCUAUAUAACAUGCUAGCAGAAACGCACGCUUGCCUUACUCACCAUCAGAUAGCAGCGAUGAGUCACUUCCUUGGGAGUGGGAGUUCAAGCCAAGCAUCUUGAUGUGGAAGGUUCCAGUUCUCUGGGCUUGUCUGUUGUUCAUUCUUUCCUUUACCCUAAAAGCAUUUCUUGGGUGCUGACUGCAUCAGGAGCUAAUCCCAGUCCUCAAGGAAUGUUUGGCCUAGGGCUCGAGAUUACAUCUUCAUGAAGAAAUGCCAGAUUCACUUGCUAUUUGGCCAUAAGGAAAUGCAGUGAAUCUUGGGUCAAAAUGUCAUGCUUUUUCAAUGACUUCAUCUUUAAACUUGACUCAGAGUCAAAGCUUGGUGAGGCAGGGGCCACUUCAGGUUUGCGCAAUUUCUUCUUUAGUAGAAUGUGACAUGGGCUUCCCAGGAGGCGCAGUGGUAAAGAAUCUGCCUGGCAGUGCAGGAGACACAAGAGACACAGCUUUGAUCCCUGGGUCAGGAAGAACCCCUGGAGUAGCCACUGGUAACCCACUCCAGUAUUCUUGCUUGGAAAGUUCCGUGGACAGAAGUGGGCUAUAGUCCAUGGGGUCACAAAGUGCUGGAGACGACUGGACGUGCACACACACACUUACAUAGACUGCGAGCUGUAAUAGUGCCCAUAUCAGGCUGACACUUUAACCACUUUAACUUGCAAAAACCAAGUCAAGGAAAAGUCCCUGGUCGUCUCCUUUCUCUUGCCCAUGUUUCCAAGUUGAACUUGGAAAACCAAGGGGAAAUAGAGAAAAAUUUCCUUUGUAAUUAUCACAAGAUUAGCAUACUGUGAAAUUUUAGAUUACAAACUAGAAAAGCAUAUUUGUCCAGAGUGAUGCUUUAUAAAACCCAGUAUGUCUCAAAGUAGAAAAUACCCUUCAGCCGCACCUUGUGUUGCUGAGCCCGUCUGUACAACAUCAUCUCCAAGACACCCCCGUUUGCUGUCCAUGUGCUGACAGAACAUGGGAGGUGAGUGUUUCUUGGCAUUUAGCCAUUCCAUACGGUGGGCGGAGGACAUCUCCUGGAAGUUUCCAUCUCCAUGCUAUUUUCAUUCCCACGUCUGGCUCAGGAGAAUACAGCUCAGGUAGUCCACACAGUAUGAGCCACAAAGGAAAGAAACUCGAUUUGAGAUAGAGAUUUCCCAAAUAAGGCACAAUAUUUAAAAUACCCACCUAUUUAAAGUCUAAAGACUUACAUUUUAGCUGUAGGAAUUAGAUUGAUAUGGAAUUUUAAGUCAACAGAAUCUGGAGAGCAGUUUGACAGCAUGGCAGACUGAGAUGAGAUGCCCUCUCCCCAAUAAUGUGCUGGAAAAUGUUGAACAACCAGCUCUUCCGAAAAUGCUGUGUGUAUAUAUAAGCUUAUUACACAUUUUCUUGAUUUAAAAGAUGUAUGCCUGGGUGCUGAGUCCUUUCAGUCGUGUCCAACUCUUUGCAACCCUAUGGGCUGUAGCCUGCCGGGCUCCCCUGUCCAUGGGAUUCUCCAGGUGAGAAUACAACAGUGGGUUGCCAUGCGCUCCUCUGGGGGGGUCUUCCCAAAUCAGGGGUGGAACCCGAGUCUCAUGUCUUCUGCAUUGGCAGGUGGGUUCUUUACCAUUAGCAUCACCAGGAAAUCCCCUUCGAGGAUGUAUAUAACAUAUAAUUUACAAAUUAUUUACAAAUUAUAUAUUUACAUAAUUUAUAUUUAAAUUAUUAUAUUUACAAAUAACAGUUAAAUAUAUAAUACUCUUUGUGGUAGGUUUCAUAUCACCUCCUGACUCUCCCAGAGCGCGCUUGUUGAGUUUUGCAGUCCAAUCUCUGUUUGCCGUCCAACCAUGAUUUGACAAAUGGAGUUGCAUUUUAAUCUGCUAACUCAUUUCCUGAUAGAUUUACUGUUAUAACAUUUGGUCUGUGACUCACUGUUAAACUAUUUCUCUUGCUUAUGCAGAUUAUGUUGAUCAAAGUGAAACCUCUCUCAGCCUCAGCACUAGACUUGACAUAUUUUUAAGGUUCAGUGCAGUUCAGUCGCUCAGUCGUGUCCGACUUUUUGCGACCGCAUGAAUCACAGUUUAAUCUGCAUUAUUAACAUUUUCUCAUCAUCUUCUUGGUUCUAGGGUUUCCCUGGUAGCUCAGAUAAUAAAGAGUCCUCCUGCAAUGCAGGAGACCCGGCUUCCACCCCCAACUCAGGAAGAUGCCCUGGAGAAGGGAACGGCAACCCACUCUAGUAUUCUUGCCUGGAGAAUUCCAUGGACAGACCACGUGGUCGCAAAGAGUCGGACACGACUGAGCAACUAACACUCUUAGCUCUAGACCAGGGAUUGUCAGACUGCGGCCCGGGGGCCAGAUCUGGCUUGAAGCCUGUUUUGUAAAUAAAGUUUUAUUGGAAAACAGCCACAUGCGUUUGUUUCCAUGGUAGCUGUGGCUGCUUUCACACUGCAAGAGCAGAGGUGAAUAGUUACAACAGAAACUGUGUGGCCCACAGAGCUGAAAAUAUUUACCGUCUGACCCUUUAGGGAACAAGUCUGUCAACCUUUGAACUUGAUGGUUAACAAAUGAUAAAUCAAGCCCUGAUUUGUGGUAUUGGCAGGUUUGUAUGAUAUAAAAGGUUCUCCCACUGCAGCCAGUUUCAAGCCUCUGCCGUGAUGUCACUGAAUGCAGAACUGGGAAGAACUGCUAAGAUGUUCAUCACACAGAAAUCCGACACAGAUACAGGAGACGGAAAUGGCAGCAAGAGCAUAGAGAACAGUGGAAGUAUAGUCCAAUCCCUUACAGGCGACGAGUUUUGAGUUUUUAUCGCCUGUGUUUUAUUGUAAUGUAUUUAAUUAUGGGUUUCUAUAAUUUAGUUUUUAAUAAUGGCUGUGUUUAGCAACUGGCUCAUAUAAUUCCUAAAAAUUUAGUCGUUGGUUCUUAUGAACUGAUACAGGCCAACGCUGGUACACUUCUGUCCCCUCCUAAAACUAGACCUCAGGGAAAUGCUAGCUAAACUGUAACAUAGCAACUAUAACAGGUGCUAGAAAUAGGAAGGGAGCUUGGAGCUGGAGCUGGAUUGGUGAGUGCGCUAGAAACAGGAGAGGGCCAGGGGAUAUCAAACCCUCAGGGCUGGAGGGCUUGAUACUCAAACAGGGAUAAGGGCCACAUGUGGGUAUGCACAGGAUUACUGAGACCCAGCGUUAAAUGGGGGCCCUGGAGGGCAGCCUCUAUAUAGAGAUUAGGAAAACAACCCAGGAGCCCUGGUAAUGGCAAGGAACCACAUCUGCCCGGGCAGAUUUUUUAACUCUGAUUUUAUUGGAGCAUAUUGGUUUACGAUGUGGUGUUGGUUUCGGGUGUGCAGCAAAACGUUCCAGUUAUAUGCGUGCACGUGUUCACUCUUUUUCAGGUUCGUUUCUCCUACAGGUUAUCACGGGGCUUCCUUGUGGCUCGGUGGUAAAGAAUCCUCCUGCAAUGCUGGAGACUCGCAGGAGACGUGGGUCCUAUCCCUGGGUCGGGAAGAUCCUCUGGAGAAGGAAAUGGCAACCCACUCCAGUAUUCUUGCCUGGGAAAUCCCAUGGACAGAGGAGCCUGGCCGACUAGAGUCUAUGGGGUCACAAAAGAGCUGGACACCACUAAAGAGCAACAACAUAAGUUAUCACAGACUACUGGGGAGAGUUCCCUGUUCUAAACAUUCCCACCGGAUGAUGCUAGUGGUUGGGCCUGAGCUACACUAGCAUCAUGGUGACACCAUUGUCCGGAGCCUGAUGGAGGAGAGAGGCUGGACAGAGGGGUGGGAAUGGAGGACAUCAUUUCGGAGAAGUCAAGUUUGAGAUGCCCCUGAAGUCUCUGAAGGAGAUUGCCUAUCAGCUGCCAAGGAAGGCGGAGUAACCACCCAGCGGAGAAACAAGACCACGUCUUCAGUAAAACUAACAUCGGCGUUGAGAGCCAGGUGGACACCACAUGCCUCCAGGACGCCCUGAGGAGAACACAACUUCCCCGCAUAAACAGAUUCCAGUCGUGAGGAAUCAUCCGACAAACCCCAAAGGGCGACUGUUUUGGUUGUUUAGCCAUUUAGCUGUGGUGGAAAACACUAACGUAAGAUUUGCCCCUUUAACCAUUUUAAAGUGCGCAGGGCAGCAGCGUCAACCACACGCGCACUGUGUAACAGGUCUCUAGAACUCGUCGUGUGUAUUCAUCACAGGGGGCCUCUCCUGCUCCCCCGCUCAGAGCCCCUGGCAGCUGCCAUUCUGCUGGCUGCUUCUGAGUUUGACCUCCUCGCAUGCUUCAUGUGAAUGGAAUUAUGCAGUGUCAGCCCUUUUGUGACUGGCUUAUUUCACGUAGCACAACGUCCUCAAAGUUUGCCGGUUCUCCAGCAUGUGUCAGAAUUUCCUUCCUUUUAAAGGCUGAAUACUGUUCCAUGGAUGCUGGCGCCUGGUGCGGGGCUGUCUUGCUUGCCUGGGGACGAGGCUCCCACCAGCCGAGCCCUUGGCUGGAUCACUUUGCUGGAUGACCCCUUGUGUCCCACCAGGCGCUGUUGUAACUGCAAGAGCAGCACAUGAGACAUCUUUCCACAUGGGUUGGUAGUUUUGUCAAGUGGAACAUAAUCCUUCCAAAUCAAGAGGAUUAUUUUGGAUAAGCCAUUAAAAUUAUUAAUUAAGAUGUUAGUGUCUGAUUGCCUUUAUUCUUGUUUAGAAGAAUUUUCUCAGAGCCUGGGUGCACUGACCUCCCUCUCCUGGCUCCCCUGUGGAAUCGGUGUCACUUUCCAUUUCGGCCUGUACCAAAGGAACCCUCUAAAGGAGGCCAUGAGGUUUAAGAGAAGAGACAUUUUAAGGCAUCGUCAGAGCUAGUGAGGUGAAAGUUGCUCAGUCGUGUCCAACUCUUUGCUCAGAGUUAAGAGGACACCAACUGUUUUGGACUGAAUAUUUUUGGAGCCUUCUAGUGUGUGCAAGGCAACAUCGUAAGAUGUUGCUAUUGUCCUCAAACAACUUACAGUCUAAAAUAAGAAAGCAAGAGAACACACAGAAAGUCAGGUAAUCGUAGAAGUUCCCCACAUGAGAAUCUAUUAGGCAGUGGAGAUUAAUUGAUUCAUUAAGGGAAGACUGUAAGGACUCUGAAUAUUCAGAAAAGAAAAGGAUCCUUGUUAGUCAGAGUCACAGAGACUGUGCAGAAUGAAGAGGUGAACUGAGAUGGAAGGAUGAGUAGGAUCUGAAUAAAGAGGACGAGUGGUUUUCAAGAGAGAGCCCCAGAGCAGUAUGUGGAGCUGAGAAUGCUCAGGGUGCUUUGAAGCAGUGACUGGACCCACCUGUCAGAAGCUGAGGGUUUGGAAUUAAAGAUAAGUUUCUUUCAGUAAAAUAGCUCCCUGGUGGCUCAGUUGGUAAAGAGUCUGCCUGCAAUGCGGGAGACCUGGGUUCAACCCCCUGGGCCAGGAAGAGCCCCUGGAGAAGGAAAUGGCAACCCACUCCAGCAUUCUUGCCUGGAGA